rnacentral:rRNA from 1 species
UAUCAAUAAGCGGAGGAAAAGAAACCAACUGGGAUUACCUUAGUAACGGCGAGUGAAGCGGUAAAAGCUCAAAUUUGAAAUCUGGUACUUUCAGUGCCCGAGUUGUAAUUUGUAGAAUUUGUCUUUGAUUAGGUCCUUGUCUAUGUUCCUUGGAACAGGACGUCAUAGAGGGUGAGAAUCCCGUUUGGCGAGGAUACCUUUUCUCUGUAAGACUUUUUCGAAGAGUCGAGUUGUUUGGGAAUGCAGCUCAAAGUGGGUGGUAAAUUCCAUCUAAAGCUAAAUAUUGGCGAGAGACCGAUAGCGAACAAGUACAGUGAUGGAAAGAUGAAAAGAACUUUGAAAAGAGAGUGAAAAAGUACGUGAAAUUGUUGAAAGGGAAGGGCAUUUGAUCAGACAUGGUGUUUUUUGCAUGCACUCGCCUCUCGUGGGCUUGGGCCUCUCAAAAAUUUCACUGGGCCAACAUCAAUUCUGGCAGUAGGAUAAAUCAUUAAGAAUGUAGCUACCUCGGUAGUGUUAUAGCUUAUUGGAAUACUGCUAGCUGGGAUUGAGGACUGCGCUUCGGCAAGGAUGUUGGCAUAAUGGUUAAAUGCCGCCCGUCUUGA